rnacentral:misc_RNA from 1 species
GGAGUAAAAGUCGUAACAAGGUUUCCGUAGGUGAACCUGCGGAAGGAUCAUUCAUAAUAAGUGUUUAUGGCACUUUUUUAAAUCCAUAUCCACCUUGUGUGCAAUGUCAGGGUUGAUUUUUCUCUCGAGAGGAUCAGCCCCAAACAUCAACUAUAUCUCAACUCUUUGUCUGAAAAAUAUUAUGAAUAAAACAAUUCAAAAUACAACUUUCAACAACGGAUCUCUUGGCUCUC